rnacentral:rRNA from 1 species
UACGGAGGGGGCUAGCGUUGCUCGGAAUUACUGGGCGUAAAGGGCGCGUAGGCGGCUCUUUAAGUUGGGGGUGAAAUCCCGGGGCUCAACCUCGGAAUUGCCUUCAAAACUGGAUAUCUUGAGUUCGGGAGAGGUGAGUGGAACUCCGAGUGUAGAGGUGAAAUUCGUAGAUAUUCGGAAGAACACCAGUGGCGAAGGCGACGCGCUGGCCCGAUACUGACGCUGAGGCGCGAAAGCGUGGGGAGCAAACAGG